AACGAACGCUGGCGGCAGGCUUAACACAUGCAAGUCGAGCGCCCCGCAAGGGGAGCGGCAGACGGGUGAGUAACGCGUGGGAAUCUACCCAUCUCUACGGAAUAACGCAUGGAAACGUGUGCUAAUACCGUAUACGUCCUUCGGGAGAAAGAUUUAUCGGAGAUGGAUGAGCCCGCGUUGGAUUAGCUAGUUGGUGGGGUAAAGGCCUACCAAGGCGACGAUCCAUAGCUGGUCUGAGAGGAUGAUCAGCCACACUGGGACUGAGACACGGACCAGACUCCGACGGGAGGCAGCAGUGGGGAAUAUUGGACAAUGGGCGCAAGCCUGAUCCAGCUAUGCCGCGUGAGUGAUAAAGGCCCUAGGGUUGUAAAGCUCUUUCACCGGUGAAGAUAAUGACGGUAACCGGAGAAGAAGCCCCGGCUAACUUCGUGCCAGCCGCCGCCGUAACAC
rnacentral:rRNA from 1 species